ACCUGGCUGGCUCCGUUGGUAGAGCGCACGACUCUUGAUCUUGGAGUUGUGAGUUCGAGCCCCACAUUGGGUG
rnacentral:tRNA from 1 species